rnacentral:rRNA from 1 species
UCAACUGGUUGUUGGGGNNNNGACACUNNCAGUAACGAAGCUAACGCGUGAAGUUGACCGCCUGGGGAGUACGGCCGCAAGGUUAAAACUCAAAGGAAUUGACGGGGACCCGCACAAGCGGUGGAUUAUGUGGAUUAAUUCGAUGCAACGCGAAAAACCUUACCUACCCUUGACAUGUCCUGGAGCCCGGAGAGAUCUGGGUGUGCCCGAAAGGGAACGGGAACACAGGUGCUGCAUGGCUGUCGUCAGCUCGUGUCGUGAGAUGUUGGGUUAAGUCCCGCAACGAGCGCAACCCUUGUCAUUAGUUGCUACAUUUAGUUGGGCACUCUAAUGAGACUGCCGGUGACAAACCGGAGGAAGGUGGGGAUGACGUCAAGUCCUCAUGGCCCUUAUGGGUAGGGCUUCACACGUAAUACAAUGGCGCGUACAGAGGGUUGCCAAGCCGCGAGGUGGAGCCAAUCCCAGAAAGCGCGUCGUAGUCCGGAUUGCAGUCUGCAACUCGACUGCAUGAAGUCGGAAUCGCUAGUAAUCGCGGAUCAGCAUGUCGCGGUGAAUACGUUCCCGGGUCUUGUACACACCGCCCGUCACACCAUGGGAGCGGGUUUCACCAGAAGCCGGUAGCCUAACCGCAAGGGGGGCGCCGACCACGGUGAGAUUCGUGACUGGGGUGAAGUCGUAACAAGGUAGCCGAAUCGANNUCCCGCGGCC